rnacentral:tRNA from 2 species
GCGCUCGUGGUGAAAUUGGUAGACACGCUGUCUUCAGGCGGCAGUGCCGCAAGGUGUGGAGGUUCGAAUCCUCUCGAGCGCA